GAUGAACGCUGGCGGCGUGCUUAACACAUGCAAGUCGAACGAUGAAGCCCAGCUUGCUGGGUGGAUUAGUGGCGAACGGGUGAGUAACACGUGAGUAACCUGCCCUUGACUCUGGGAUAAGCCUGGGAAACUGGGUCUAAUACCGGAUAGGAACGUCCACCGCAUGGUGGUUGUUGGAAAGAUUUAUCGGUCAUGGAUGGACUCGCGGCCUAUCAGCUUGUUGGUGAGGUAAUGGCUCACCAAGGCGACGACGGGUAGCCGGCCUGAGAGGGUGACCGGCCACACUGGGACUGAGACACGGCCCAGACUCCUACGGGAGGCAGCAGUGGGGAAUAUUGCACAAUGGGCGAAAGCCUGAUGCAGCGACGCCGCGUGAGGGAUGACGGCCUUCGGGUUGUAAACCUCUUUCAGUAGGGAAGAAGCGAAAGUGACGUACCUGCAG
rnacentral:rRNA from 1 species